GCCGCGUUGGUCUAGAGGCUCAGGACACCGGUUUUUCACGCCGUGAGGUCGCAGGUUCGAAUCCUGUACGCGGUACCA
rnacentral:tRNA from 1 species